CCGUGGCUCAGUGGUAGAGCGUCUGGUUUGAAUGCAGAAUGUCCCAGGUACAGUCUCCUGUCAGAAGGA
rnacentral:tRNA from 1 species